rnacentral:rRNA from 1 species
CCUACGGGUGGCAGCAGUGGGGAAUAUUGCACAAUGGGGGAAACCCUGAUGCAGCGACGCCGCGUGAGUGAAGAAGUAUUUCGUUAUGUAACCUUCUAUCAGCAGGUAAGAAAAUGUCCGUUCCUGGCUAACAGGCCCUGGCUAAAUACGUGCCAGCGGCCGCGUUCAUACGUAGGGGGCCAGCGUUACCCGGAUUUACAGGGUGUAAAGGGAGCGUAGGCGGUGCGGCAAGUCUGAAGUGAAAGGCCGGGGCUCAACUCCGGGACUGCUUUGGACACUGGUGAACUAGAUUGCAGGAGAGGUAAGUGGAAUUCCUAGUGUAGCGGUGAAAUGCGUAGAUAUUAGGAGGAACACCAGUGGCGAAGGCGGCUUACUGGACUGUAAAUGACGUUGAGGCUCGAAAGCGUGGGGAGCAAACAGGAUUAGAUACCCGGGUAGUC